CUCUGGCUGCCCUGGAAGGUCUGGGUCCUUGGCAGGGGGUCAGGAAUCCCCUGGACAGAGCCCCCAGAGACACUAUCUGUGUCCAUGGAAAAGAGUUUUCAAUCUUACAGGAUGCAUUACAAGCUCUGAGUGUUUGAUAUAAGUAAUAAUGUAGUGUGGCACGGGUGCAAAAGUAAAAUUUUAGGAUUCUAGAUAAGGGGUUCAAAGGGGACAAGAUGGAGGAAAUUGGGUGUGUCUUGUCCUUUUCCUCCUUCUUCAUGCCCUCCAUGUUUCACUGUAGUGUUGGCAUUUUUCUGUUGGUUUAGGCUGGGGACACACUGUUCAAUGUCGGUGACAGAUAUUGGCACGUUAUUGUAAAUCCAGCACAGGUAGUUUCUGGUAUUUAAUGUUUGUAACAUCCCACUGAGGGCAGAGCCCCACACGCUGCCCUGCAGGACAGACCUGCGGCAGGGCAGCAGAACAUGUUAGAGAUAAACAGAAUAAACAACCUUGAAAACAGCACAGACAAAUUAUGGCUUCUUCUUUGGCAGCGGGGCAGAAAAACAGACUUUCUACAAUCUCGGAAUCAUCAAUACCUCAGAUUCUGACAAUUUUCUAAUAGAAGCUGCUGGCAGUUUCCUCUGUGUGUGAUAAAAAUCCAGUCAGUAAUUAUCUUUGAGAAUUGACAAUCUGUUGAACCACUGAGAGCUGACAAUCUGUUAAACCACGCCUCAAUGAGUACACGUUAAAGAUGAAAAAACCCCCGGGAAGCUCUCUUUUCCUUCCAGGUAGCCUGCAGCCAGUGCAGAAAGCAGUCCUGCUGCCAAUUCUACACAGCUGCUGAAGAAACCUCCAUCGUGAAACAGCCACCAAGCCCAGCAGGGUCUGUGUGUGACCAUCUGCGGCUCCCAGGUAAUUUAUGAAGAAAAUACAGCAGAGGUUACUGAGGUUCUGGUCAGGAUUAUGGACACUGUUGGCUGCAGCCGUGAUUUGAAAGUUCAGGUGUGUACAGCUCUGUGACCACUCUGCCAGAACAUGGGGAGCAGCAUGUAUUGAGCUCAGGAAAAUUGAAGGAAACAGUUUCAAUAAAGCCUCUUCCACCCUGAACCCUGCAGCUGUGCUGCCUGACAAGGCACAUGGAACAGAAGUCACAUGGGACAGAAUUAUCAAACUGCUCCAUCCUUUCCCUGAACAGGUCACUCACCUUUGUUCUUUCUACCUUCUCCAAGCUCAGCAUGCAAAAAUAAUAGAAAUUUCUAUUUGAAAACUUUACCUUCUGUUGUUU
rnacentral:lncRNA from 1 species